rnacentral:rRNA from 1 species
AUUGAACGCUGGCGGCAGGCUUAACACAUGCAAGUCGAGCGGGGUGAUGGUGCUUGCACUAUCACUUAGCGGCGGACGGGUGAGUAAUGCUUAGGAAUCUGCCUAUUAGUGGGGGACAACAUCUCGAAAGGGAUGCUAAUACCGCAUACGUCCUACGGGAGAAAGCAGGGGAGCACUUGUGACCUUGCGCUAUGAGAUGAGCAUAAGUCGGAUUAGCUAGUUGGUGGGGUAAAGGCCUACCAAGGCGACGAUCUGUAGCGGGUCUGAGAGGAUGAUCCGCCACACUGGGACUGAGACACGGCCCAGACUCCUACGGGAGGCAGCAGUGGGGAAUAUUGGACAAUGGGGGGAACCCUGAUCCAGCCAUGCCGCGUGUGUGAAGAAGGCCUUAUGGUUGUAAAGCACUUUAAGCGAGGAGGAGGCUCUUUUGGUUAAUACCCAAGAUGAGUGGACGUUACUCGCAGAAUAAGCACCGGCUAACUCUGUGCCAGCCGCCGCAGUAA